rnacentral:rRNA from 1 species
CCAUGCAUGUCUCAGUGCAAGCUACAUUAAAGUGAAACCGCGAAUGGCUCAUUAAAUCAGUUAUGGUUCCUUAGAUCGUACGACAGUUACUUGGAUAACUGUGGUAAUUCUAGAGCUAAUACAUGCAAACAGAGUCCCGACCAGAAAUGGAAGGGACGCUUUUAUUAGAUCAAAACCAAUCGGUCCGCUCGUUCGGUCCGUUUGCCUUGGUGACUCUGAAUAACUUUGGGCUGAUCGCACGGUCUCUGUACCGGCGACGCAUCUUUCAAAUGUCUGCCUUAUCAACUGUCGAUGGUAGGUUCUGCGCCUACCAUGGUUGUAACGGGUAACGGGGAAUCAGGGUUCGAUUCCGGAGAGGGAGCCUGAGAAACGGCUACCACAUCCAAGGAAGGCAGCAGGCGCGCAAAUUACCCACUCCCGGCACGGGGAGGUAGUGACGAAAAAUAACGAUACGGGACUCAUCCGAGGCCCCGUAAUCGGAAUGAGUACACUUUAAAUCCUUUAACGAGUAUCCAUUGGAGGGCAAGUCUGGUGCCAGCAGCCGCGGUAAUUCCAGCUCCAAUAGCGUAUAUUAAAGUUGUUGCGGUUAAAAAGCUCGUAGUUGGACUUGUGUCCCACGCUGUCGGUUCACCGCCCGUCGGUGUUUAACUGACAUGUAUUGUGGGACGUCCUGCCGGUGGUGGCGAGUCGAAAGCGCGCGGCUCCCGUGGUUCGCCGCGGGUCGACGUGCGUCUGGAGACGGACCCCGAUGAAAUCCUACCGUGGUGCUCUUAACCGAGUGUCGAGGUGGGCCGGCACGUUUACUUUGAACAAAUUAGAGUGCUUAAAGCAGGCCUGAUGCGCCUGAAUACUGAGUGCAUGGAAUAAUGGAAUAGGACCUCGGUUCUAUUUUGUUGGUUUUCGGAACCCGAGGUAAUGAUUAAUAGGGACAGUCGGGGGCAUUCGUAUUGCGACGUUAGAGGUGAAA